rnacentral:lncRNA from 1 species
UAAGCCCCUGCAUGUGUAGCAGCAGCAGGUCAACAACAGCUUCACUGCUGUUGCUUGUCUUCUCAUGUAUGCUGUGUAGGUAGAGCUGUAGUUUUUUCUUCUGCAUCUUUUCUUCUGUAGAUGUAACCUUUUUUGGACUUUUUUCUCUCUUCCUCAGUACAGAUAUGAGCUGGGUAGCAACAGAGAUCAAGGAACUAACCCUAGAGAGAAAAAGACUCUCAGAGUAGCAGG